ACUCCUACGGGAGGCAGCAGUGGGGAAUAUUGCACAAUGGGCGCAAGCCUGAUGCAGCCAUGCCGCGUGUAUGAAGAAGGCCUUCGGGUUGUAAAGUACUUUCAGCAGUGAGGAAGGUGGGUAUGUUAAUAGCAUAUUCAUUUUGACGUUAGCUGCAGAAGAAGCACCGGCUAACUCCGUGCCAGCAGCCGCGGUAAUACGGAGGGUGCGAGCGUUAAUCGGAAUUACUGGGCGUAAAGCGCAUGCAGGUGGUUUGUUAAGUCAGAUGUGAAAGCCCGGGGCUCAACCUCGGAAUUGCAUUUGAAACUGGCAAACUAGAGUACUGUAGGAGGGGGUAGAAUUUCGAGGUGUAGCGGUAGAAUGAGUAGAGAUCUAGGAAGGAAUACCGGGUGGACGAAGGCCGGCCCCUAGGACAGAUACUGACACUCAGAUGACGAAGCGGUAGGGGAGACAAACGAGGUAUUAGAACUACCCGUGGUAGGCUCUGAC
rnacentral:rRNA from 1 species